rnacentral:snRNA from 1 species
UUUUUUUCUAAUUUUGAU